rnacentral:rRNA from 1 species
CCGAGCAGGGUCUAGGUAAAGCCUGGCUUUUUGGUCAAGUUGAACCUAGGCUCAGUGAGGUGGACUAAGUCGUCACAAGGUAGCCGUAGGGGAACCUGCGGCUGGAUCACCUCCU